rnacentral:lncRNA from 1 species
UGAAUUGUUUCAAUGUGGGUUAUUUUUCUAAAUUGGUUGGAAGAUUUGUUAGAUUUAACAAUCUCAUUACCUAUCAACUAUUAGGGCUUGUUUGGUUCAAGAGUGGAAUUGGAAUGGAUAAUGAAAUGGAAAUGAAUUGGAAUGGCAAUUGGAUUGCCCCACUCCCCCAACACGUUUGGUUUAUUUCUGGAUUGAAAAUCGGAAUGAAUUAUUCCUAUUUUACUGUUUGGUUGAUACAAAGUAAAAAAAUAACAGAAUAAUAUAAUACUAAUUUUACUUUUAAAUAUAAUUUUAUAAAACUAUCUAAAAUUUAUUUAAAAAAAUUAAUACUGCUCUCAAGUUAGAGCUAUGCCAAAAAAAAUUGAAUUUAUUUAAAAAAUUUUUAUGCAAGAAAUUACAAAAACAAUGCCAAUUUUUUUUUAAUGAUGAGAAAAGAGAGAAGAGAUCGAUAUAGAAAGAGAAAGUAUGGAUAAGAUGGAGAAAUGUUGGGCUGGGCUUGAGGAAGAGGUGAGUGGUCUCCAAGCCCGGAUUGAAACUUCAAUCCGGGCUUGGAGACCGGAAUCAAUUUGUAAGCUAAUGGACCAUUCCCAUUUCGAUUCGAAGUGGGAGUCUCAAACCGAUUCCUGUGAACCAAACAAAAUUAGCAGGAUUUGAUCAAACCGAUUCUCAUUCCGGAUCCAAAAUGUACGAACCAAACAUGCCCUUAAAUCAAUUAAAAAUCUCUUUUACUUUUUGUCAAUUAUCUAUUGGAAGUCUA